rnacentral:rRNA from 1 species
UACGAAGGUUGCGAGCGUUGUUCGGAAUCACUGGGCUUAAAGCGCAUGUAGGCGGCUCGUCAAGUGCCUUGUGAAAUCCCCCGGCUCAACCGGGGAAUUGCUCGGUAGACUGUCGGGCUUGAGGCAGGUAGGGGCGCGUGGAACUCUUGGUGGAGCGGUGGAAUGCGUAGAUAUCAAGAGGAACGCCGGUGGCGAAAGCGGCGCGCUGGGCCUGUCCUGACGCUGAGAUGCGAAAGCCAGGGGAGCAAACGGG